ensembl:miRNA gmo-mir-130b gmo-mir-130b
GCCCUUUUCCUCUUGCACUACUGGACGUUGAGAUGAGUAGUGCAAUAUUAAAAGGGCAU